GAUGAACGCUGGCGGCGUGCCUAAUACAUGCAAGUCGAGCGAACAGAUGAGGAGCUUGCUCCUCUGACGUUAUCGGCGGACGGGUGAGUAACACGUGGAUAACCUACCUAUAAGACUGGGAUAACUUCGGGAAACCGGAGCUAAUACCGGAUAAUAUAUUGAACCGCAUGGUUCAAUAGUGAAAGACGGUUUUGCUGUCACUUAUAGAUGGAUCCGCGCCGCAUUAGCUAGUUGGUAAGGUAACGGCUUACCAAGGCAACGAUGCGUAGCCGACCUGAGAGGGUGAUCGGACACACUGGAACUGAGACACGGUCCAGACUCCUACGGGAGGCAGCAGUAGGGAAUCUUACGCAAUGGGCGAAAGCCUGACGGAGCAACGCCGCGUGAGUGAUGAAGGUCUUCGGAUCGUAAAACUCUGUUAUUAGGGAAGAACAAAUGUGUAAGUAACUAUGCACGUCUUGACGGUACCUAAUCAGAAAGCCACGGCUAACUACGUG
rnacentral:rRNA from 1 species